UACGGGGGGGCAAGCGUUGUUCGGAAUUACUGGGCGUAAAGGGCUCGUAGGCGGCCAACUAAGUCGGAUGUGAAAUCCCCAGGCUUAACCUGGGAACUGCAUCCGAUACUGGAUGGCUUGAAUCCGGGAGAGGGAUGCGGAAUUCCAGGUGUAGCGGUGAAAUGCGUAGAUAUCUGGAGGAACACCGGUGGCGAAGGCGGCAUCCUGGACCGGCAUUGACGCUGAGGAGCGAAAGCCAGGGGAGCAAAACGGGG
rnacentral:rRNA from 1 species